UACGUAGGGUGCGAGCGUUAAUCGGAAUUACUGGGCGUAAAGCGUGCGCAGGCGGUAAGUUAAGUCUGAUGUGAAAGCCCCGGGCUCAACCUGGGGAAUUGCAUUUGAGACUGCGUAGCUAGGGUGCGGAAGAGGGAAGCGGAAUUUCCGGUGUAGCGGUGAAAUGCGUAGAUAUCGGAAGGAACACCAGUGGCGAAAGCGGCUUCCUGGUCCAGCACCGACGUUCAGGCACGAAAGCGUGGGGAGCAAACAGG
rnacentral:rRNA from 1 species